ACGAACGCUGGCGGCGUGCCUAAUACAUGCAAGUCGAGCGGAAUGAUGAAGAAGCUUGCUUCUUCUGAUUUUAGCGGCGGACGGGUGAGUAACACGUGGGCAACCUACCUUGUAGAUUGGGAUAACUCCGGGAAACCGGGGCUAAUACCGAAUAAUCCAUUUUGCUUCAUGGCGAGAUGUUGAAAGACGGUUUCGGCUGUCACUACAAGAUGGGCCCGCGGCGCAUUAGCUUGUUGGUAGGGUAAUGGCCUACCAAGGCGACGAUGCGUAGCCGACCUGAGAGGGUGAUCGGCCACACUGGGACUGAGACACGGCCCAGACUCCUACGGGAGGCAGCAGUAGGGAAUCUUCCACAAUGGACGAAAGUCUGAUGGAGCAACGCCGCGUGAGUGAAGAAGGUUUUCGGAUCGUAAAACUCUGUUGUAAGGGAAGAACACGUACGAGAGUAACUGCUCGUACCUUGACGGUACCUUAUUAGAAAGCCACGGCUAACUACGUG
rnacentral:rRNA from 1 species